UACGCCCCGAUUACGCGCCUAUUACAUUACCCACCUAUUCCGGCGUUUGGUUCGCUGUUUUCCCAUUCCGCGCCGAAUCGGUUACUCCCCCAUUACAUUGAUUGCGCGUAAUAGGCAUUACGCCCCCUCAGCGCCGAUUACCCAUUCCACGUCUUUCCCUUUUUUCUCUUCCGUUUUCUGCCCUCGUCCUCAACGCUCCAAUUCUCCCACGCUUCCUUGCACAGGGUGAAGUUUUGAGACCCUUAUCAGAAAUUGAUGAUCUUUCCAGUACAUUUUUAAAGUUUAACACAACCAUCAAUGGACCAAGAGGCUCAGGGAUUGUUGGUGACCGGGGAUCUAGAGAAGGUGAAUUUGUU